rnacentral:rRNA from 1 species
AAACAUGUUUGUUUGGAGUUAUAAAGAAUCUAACCUGCCCCCUGAUUUAAAGGUUAAAGGGCCGCAGUAUUUAUAACUGUGCAAAGGUAGCAUAAUCAUUAGGUUUUUAAUUGGAAUCUUGUAUGAAUGGUUGGACAAAAGAAAAACUCUCUUUAUUUUAGAUUUUGAAUUUAACUUUUAAGUGAAAAGGCUUAAAUAUUCUAAAGGGACGAUAAGACCCUAUAAAACUUUAUAUUGUAGUUUUAUUUUAAUUUAAUUUGAUUUAUAAAUAAAAAUUUAAUAAAAUUAUUUGUUAUGUUGGGGAGACAUGGGUAAAUAUUAUUUUAACUGCUUUAUAAAUAAUACAAUUAUUAGUGUGUAAGUAAAGGAUCCUUUGUUAAAGAUUAGUAGAUUAAGUUACUUUAGGGAUAACAGCGUAAUUUUUUUUGAGAGUUCUUAUCGAAAAAGAAGAUUGCGACCUCGAUGUUGAAUUAAAGUGUCUAUAUAAUGAAGGAGUUAUAUGAGAAGGUCUGUUCGACCUUUAAAAUUUUACAUGAUUUGAGUUCAAACCGGUGAGAGCCAGG